UUUUGGGGGUUGCUGGCUAUGGACAAGUGGGCCGUAGAGUCCCUUCUGUUGUGUUUUGCAGGUGCCGUGGGGCGAUUCGGAUCCUCGGAGCGAAUCCUUGAGCGAAUUCUGCCAGACUGUACGAUUUGAUGCAAAGAAGGAGCGGGAGCGGUGCAUGUAGUGAAGAGUCUUCCUUGGCUUCUGGUUAUGAAGGCCGAUGCUUUGGAACUGUGCGGAGCAGUGAUGUUUUGAGGCACACGGUGUGAAAGCGAAGCCUGCCGAGAUGAGCGGAGCUCGCUCGCUUUCUGCCUGGGAAUACAAAUUGCAGAGAUGACAUCACCUCAAAGAGGAAAACUUUAUAUGUGCAAAGCAAUAGAGCGAGUAUGUAACUGGAGCGAGAGGUGUGGAAAAGGCGCUCUCUACUAGGUAGAGAAUUGCAGGCACUAAAUAGUUGGCCUUGCUAUUAAGGUAAUAAUGAAUUUUUAGGGUUUAGAUGUAUUUAUAAAGAUGAGUAAAAAGUGAAUAAAUGUAAUAGUCAUUAGUAGAUUGAUGAGGCAGUAAGUAUUGUUUAUCAUUGUUGUACAAGUACAUUCUCGAAUUGAAAUGUAAUAGAAAACUUAAUUGGAGUCAGUAAUGGACAAAUGUAAACAUAGAAACAGCUUAAAAAGGAAUUAUAGGCAGUAAUGUAUCCCAAUUGUAAUCACGGUAGUAACCAAAAUUGCAAACAAAAGCGCAAAGCUGAGCGGGCGUCUCUAAUGCCCGUAGGUCAAUGUAGCCGUCGGAAAGAAAAAAUUUACAAUUGUCGAUAGCUCUCGCUGGGGACCACAAAAUAAAGUAAAGUUUGUGAAGGGUAAUUUAAAUGAGAAUUAGGCAUUGGAAGGAGAGCUGUCAAUACCUAUAGGUAAAUGUAGCUGUUGACAGGUUAAAGGAAAGGAUGUGUGUUACUGGCUCCUAAGUAGAUCUCAAUUAGUUGUGUAAAGGUUUUCUUUUGAUUGCCUUUGAGCGGUUUAAAGAAAUGUAGAACACCGUGUGGUGUAAUCGAUGUCCAAGUGAAACACUGAUGUAAAUGAGGCUGUAGCAGGCACGAAUGAAGUCUGAGUAGUAUUAGAGGAAGGAUAUCAAGCUGUGCAGUAAUGAUGGAAUGCUCAUACAGAUGUGUCAAACAAACUUAAUUGAUGUGAAAGCUAAUGAUGGUAGUUAAAGUACUCCUUAUUUGGGUUCUAAGGUAUACCAGAGCCCCUUUGAUUUUAGAAAGCUUUAAUAAAGAUGUUUUUGCUUUUUG